rnacentral:rRNA from 1 species
UACGAAGGGUGCAAGCGUUAAUCGGAAUAACUGGGCGUAAAGCGCACGUAGGUGGUUAGACAAGUUAAAUGUGAAAUCCCUGGGCUCAACCUAGGAACUGCAUCUAAAACUGACUAACUAGAGUAUAGUAGAGGUUAGUGGAAUUUCCUGUGUAGCGGUGAAAUGCGUAGAUAUAGGAAGGAACACCAGUGGCGAAGGCGACUAACUGGACUAAUACUGACACUGAGGUGCGAAAGCGUGGGGAGCAAACAGG